AUUGAACGCUGGCGGCAGGCCUAACACAUGCAAGUCGAGCGGGGUUUUCGGACCUAGCGGCGGACGGGUGAGUAAUGCGUAGGAAGCUACCCGACAGAGGGGGAUACCAGUUGGAAACGACUGUUAAUACCGCAUAAUGUCUACGGACCAAAGUGUGGGACCUUCGGGCCACAUGCUGUCGGAUGCGCCUACGUGGGAUUAGCUAGUUGGUGAGGUAAUGGCUCACCAAGGCGACGAUCCCGUAGCGUGGUUUGAGAGGAUGAUCAGCCACACUGGAACUGAGACACGGUCCAGACUCCUACGGGAGGCAGCAGUGGGGAAUAUUGGACCAAUGGGCGCAAGCCUGAUCCAGCCAUGCCGCGUGUGUGAAGAAGGCCUC
rnacentral:rRNA from 1 species